GUGCCAGCAGCCGCGGUAAUUCCAGCUCCAAUGGCGUAUAUUAAAGUUGUUGUGGUUAAAAAGCUCGUAGUUGAACCUUGGGCCUGGCUGGCCGGUCCGCCUCACCGCGUGCACUGGUCCGGCCGGGCCUUUCCCUCUGUGGAACCCCAUACCCUUCACUGGGCGUGGCGGGGAAACAGGACAUUUACUUUGAAAAAAUUAGAGUGCUCCAGGCAGGCCUAUGCUCGAAUACAUUAGCAUGGAAUAAUAAAAUAGGACGCGCGGUUCUAUUUUGUUGGUUUAUAGGACCGCCGUAAUGAUUAAUAGGGACAGUCGGGGGCAUCAGUAUUCAACUGUCAGAGGUGAAAUUCUUGGAUCAGUUGAAGACUAACUACUGCGAAAGCAUUUGCCAAGGAUGUUUUCAUUAAUCAGGAACGAAAGUUAGGGGAUCGAAGACGAUCAGAUACCGUCGUAGUCUUAACCAUAAACUAUGCCGACUAGGGAUCGGACGGUGUUAUUCAUGACCCGUUCGGCACCUUACGAGAAAUCAAAGUGCUUGGGCUCCAGGGGGAGUAUGGUCGCAAGGCUGAAACUUAAAGAAAUUGACGGAAGGGCACCACCAGGGGUGGAGCCUGCGGCUUAAUUUGACUCAACACGGGGAAACUCACCAGGUCCAGACACAAUAAGGAUUGACAGAUUGAGAGCUCUUUCUUGAUUUUGUGGGUGGUGUGCAUGGCCGUUCUUAGUGGUGGGGUGACUCGUCUGCUUAAUGCGAUAACGAACGAGACCUUAACCUGCUAAAUAGCCCGCAUGCUCCGCAGUGCGCUGGCUUCUUAGAGGGACUUCGGCUCAAGGCGGAGGAGUUGUGCAAUAACAGGUCUGUGAUGCCUUAGAAUGUUCUUGGCGGAAG
rnacentral:rRNA from 1 species